rnacentral:rRNA from 1 species
AGUGAACGCUGGCGGCAGGCCUAAUACAUGCAAGUCGAACGGCAGCACAGCAGAGCUUGCUCUGUGGGUGGCGAGUGGCGGACGGGUGAGGAAUACAUGGGAAUCUGCCCAGUCGUGGGGGAUAACGUAUGGAAACGUACGCUAAUACCGCAUGCGCCCUUUGGGGGAAAGCCGGGGACCUUCUGGCCUGGCGCGAUUGGAUGAGCCCAUGUUCGAUUAGCUAGUUGGCGGGGUAAAGGCCCACCAAGGCGACGAUCGAUAGCUGGUCUGAGAGGAUGAUCAGCCACACUGGGACUGAGACACGGCCCAGACUCCUACGGGAGGCAGCAGUAGGGAAUAUUGGACAAUGGGCGCAAGCCUGAUCCAGCCAUGCCGCGUGAGUGAAGAAGGCCCUCGGGUUGUAAAGCUCUUUUGUCCGGAAAGAAAAGCAUUCGGUUAAUACCCGGGUGUUCUGACGGUACCGGAAGAAUAAGCACCGGCUAACUUCGUG